rnacentral:rRNA from 1 species
UACGUAGGGGCAAGCGUUAUCCGGAUGUACUGGGUGUAAAGGGAGUGUAGGUGGUCUGGCAAGUCAGAUGUGAAAGCCCGCGGCUCAACUGAGGGACUGCAUUUGAAACUGUCAGACUGGAGUGCAGGAGAGGAAAGUGGAAUUCCUAGUGUAGCGGUGAAAUGCGUAGAUAUUAGGAGGAACACCAGUAGCGAAGGCGGCUCUCUGGACUGUAACUGACGCUGAGGCACGAAAGCGUGGGGAGCAAACAGGAUUA